ensembl:snRNA U1 U1 spliceosomal RNA
AUACUUACCUGGCAGGGGAGAUACCAUGAUCAAGAAGGUGGUUCACCCAGGGUGAGGCUCAGCCAUUGCACUCCGGUUGUGCUGACCCCUGCGAAUGGGGGUGUGCCGAAAAGUAGUGUAAAUCGCGCGACCCGUGAUAGGGUGAUUUUCUACGUUAGCUUGGAGGCGUU